rfam:Tupaia chinensis contig101722, whole genome shotgun sequence.
AUGCUCACUUCACGGCACACCUACCAAAAUUGGAACGCUCAGAGACCAGCGUGGCCCCUGUGCAAGGAUGACACGCAGAUUGGUGAAGUGUUUCAUAUUUAA